CCUACGGGGGGCAGCAGUGGGGGAUAUUGCACAAUGGGGGGAACCCUGAUGCAGCGACGCCGCGUGGGUGAAGAAGCGCCUCGGCGCGUAAAGCCCUGUCAGCAGGGAAGAAAAUGACGGUACCUGAAGAAGAAGCCCCGGCUAACUACGUGCCAGCAGCCGCGGUAAUACGUAGGGGGCAAGCGUUAUCCGGAUUUACUGGGUGGAAAGGGGGCGCAGACGGCGAUGCAAGCCAGGAGUGAAAGCCCGGGGCCCAACCCCGGGACUGCGCUUGGAACUGCGUGGCUGGAGUGCAGGAGGGGAAGGCGGAAUUCCUGGGGUAGCGGGGAAAUGCGUAGAUAUCAGGAGGAACACCGGUGGCGAAGGCGGCCUGCUGGACUGCAACUGACGUUGAGGCCCGAAAGCGUGGGGAGCAAACAGGAUUGGAUACCCGUGUAGUC
rnacentral:rRNA from 1 species